GGUCAUCCUCACCGGGAAGGAAGCAAGAGGAGCCUAGCAAAUGUGAUUGCUGCACUUGCUGUACUGCCUGCCCUCAAGUCCCGGUGUUCCUCACAGCAGUUUGUUUUUAGGCAGAGUCAAAAUGUUCCCAUAUCAAGAGAGCCACAUCAAGGCAGCCCCAUGAAGAUGUUUCUGGCAUCUAAAUGACUAUAUCAAAGCAGUGUGUCAGCAAAACAGACUACGACAAAACAGCAUGCAUCAAAAUGGCUGUAUCAUCCAUUGGUACAGACUCUGUCAUCAAGCGACUGCACUCUAGAAUAUCGCUGCUGUCUAUGAUACCCAGCUGGCCUGAAAAUCUUCCCUGAAAUUUCUGUUGCAAGGAAACCGUUUUAUCUCUGCCCCUCCAGCUUGGAAGUGCCUACCACACACAGCUGCCUCUCAAGCAUUUGGGGUGGGAAAUCGAGGAGGGGCCGUAACCCAACCUUGGGUCAGCGCCAAAAGAAGAUAAAGGAACAGCUGCAAGACACAGAGUGAGAAGCGGGAACUCAGCAGAGGCGGAAACUCAAAUCCUGAGGCUGCCGUGAGAAUGGGCAACAGAAGCGCUGCCUGGCGUCUGGGGCGAGCACUGGCUUUCCUCUAGGACAGGCAAUGAGUUUUUCUAGACGAGCUCAUUUGCAUGAUAAUCCUCUAACAGCAUACUCUACAGAUUGCUGAGCACUGUUGAAAACUGAAAACUCUAGGUAAGGAUGGCUUGUGGGAUGACAUGUUAUCCACAGGUUAAACUCUAAUCCCCUAUGUGCAGCGGGGAUCAGUGUGAGGGAAGUAAGCGGGCCGUGAAAGUGGAGACCCCACAAAUGGCAUUAAUGGCCCUGUAAAAAGGACUCGAGGGAUCCUUUUGCUGUGUGCAGAUACAAAAACACAUAUCAGUUAGUAACCAGGAGCAGAGUCCCAGCCUGACCAGAACCUAAACAUGCCGACAUCUUCCUUUAGGACUUCCGGCUUCCAGACUUGUGAGAGAUCGAUUUCUGUUGUUUAUAAGUCAUCCAGUGCACAGUACUUCAUUAUAGUGCCACAAAUUGACUAUGAUAGUGUUCCCAUUUUGAUCCUCUCCUAUCCACAUUGUACCUUGCUUUCUGUUUUCCCAUGUGAUUCUGCAUUCUCACCCUAGACUUUGCUCCCUAUGGUGGUUUGAGUGUGCAUCUCCCCCGUAGGCUCAGAUGUUUGAAUAUUUGACCCCCAAGUUAGUGGAACUGUUUGCAUAGGCUCAGGAGGAGUGGCCUUGCUGGAGGGAGGUGGUACUGGGGGUGAGCCUUGAGCUUUCAAAGCCACAGGCUAGUCCCAAUUUUUUCUCUCUGCUAUAUGCUUGAGAUGAGGCCUUCUCAGCUUUUUGCUCCAGCCUCCAUACCUGUUACUUGCUGCCAUGAUUUUCUUUUAAUGGACUCUCAUCCCUCUGGAACUGUAAGUCAAAUAAACCUCUACUAUAAGUUGCCUUGGUCAUAAGAAGUUACUAAUAUGCAACCCAUACUAAUAGGUCACUGUUUUGGCAUUUUAAAAAGUACACUUUAGCUUAUUUUCUGUUUGUGUGUGUAGGUAUAUGUGCAUACCAUCGCACACGUGUGGAGCUCAGAGGACAACUUGCAGGAGUCUCUCUUUCCACCGGGUCUUACCCUGAGAUAGAACUUGGAUCAUCAAGAUUUGGUUACCCACUUCAGGACUUAGGUUCUAGAAAUUUAAGCAUGAAUAAACUCGAUUUCUCCUUCUGCUGAGUUACAGUUCAGUGGGGAUACAUAAACAAUUAACAGUGCAAUACAGUAAGUGCAAACUAUAAAAAUAAUCAUGGCUUUAUGAGAUCAUAAAAGAGAAGCACUUAGUGAAGUCCUUAGAAGUGGGUCAGUUUUUUACUAUGCUAACAGGUGAGUCAGAUCUUAAAGGAUGUGAAGAGUUAAGCAGAGAGAAGGAGGCAACCUGGAACUGGGUUGGAGGCAGGAGGAGGAAGUGAACCUGGAAGGAACCGAUUUCUAUACAAAGGCAUGGAAAGAAAAAAGGCAAAUUGUAUAGGGGACACCAGCAGGCUUGAGUUGUUAGAGACAAGGCUUAGCUAUAAAUAAGAGUAGGAAAAAUGUCUAGGCUAGAUGAUAGCAGACUCAGUCUAAUAUUAAAGGCAUUCACCAUCUUGCCUGCAAUAUGGAGGUGUGAAAGGGGUUUGGGGACAUAAAGGAGCAUGGCAAGAUCAGAGUUUUAAAUAAAUUGCUUCAGUGUCUAAAGAAGAACACUUACUAGCAGGUUCUAGCUGCAUCCACAUUUCAUGUAGAAAAACAGGAAAUUUGUUAGCUCAUUGUUCUAGUCCACGUGAAAGCUGACUUAAGUCUUAACUGAGGCACGGAUAGUGAAGAGCAGAGGCAGGAGCAAAUAAGUUACUGGCAACAGACAGGGAUGAUGAAUACUACCAAAGAGUUCCUUCCCGGACGACAUGUAUGGGUAACAGGAUCAUGAGUUAAGAUUAUGUUUACAGGAGGAAGGUGUGUUCAGUGGAGAAAAUGAUGAAGUCUGCUCUAAAGUUCUUGAGUCCCCAUUGCCUUUAGAUGAGCCAGAAUGAAAGAACAGAGAGAAGAGAUGCAGACUGGAAGCAGAGCACUGGAGUUCACCUCCAUACAGGAUGAUACCGCCCGUACUCAGGGUAGGCACCCCAGCUUAACCUUUCUGAAAACACCCUCACACACAUGCCUGAAGGGUUGUCUCCUCGCUGACUAUCAACCUUGUCACGCUGAUAAGUUUAACCAUCAUGACUUGGACGUCAGGUGAAUUGAAGACUUGAAAGUGAAAAGCAGAAUAAUGCUUGCAGAAGGAUGUGAAGAAGAAAUUUACCUCCUGUAACCUGCGAGAUCUACACUGGAAAGAAACCCACCAGUAUUUUGUGGCGUUGAAGACAUGAAACUGUUCAAUAUGGCAAUUCGAUUUUUAAAUGUUAAUUUGUCAUUUAUUUUUAUGUAUAUGAAUGCUCUAUCUACACAUACAUUCCAUGUCAGUAUAGAUGGCUAUGAGCCACCAUGUGGUUGCUGGGAGUUGAACUCAGGACCUUUGAAAAGGGUAACCAGUGGUCUUAACCUCUGAGCCAGUUUUCCCGCCCCUGGAAUUUGAGACAUGUAUUUAAAAAUGUAAAUCUAUAAUGAGAACUGCCUUAAUGAUUCUUUCUUCUUUAUUGUUUGUGAUAGAAAGUAGAAACUCAGUAGUAGACUGUAAGUGAGUGGUGGAUUCUUCAAUGAUAAAAAAUUAUAUAGCAGUGAAAAUGAGUGGACUAGGUCCACUCAUAACACAGAUAGAUCUUGAGAAUAUAAUACUGCAUACGAGAGGUGACCUUCAGGAUAUGUUUUAUAUGUGUGUGGAAGAAAUGCAUACCAGCUUUAGACCAGCAAUGAUAUCUUGGUAGCCAGAAGAGAAAGGGACUGGUUGGAGUAUUAAGGGGAUUUCAACUGUAAUUUUAACACCUUCUUUCUUUUUCUUUUCUUUCUUUCUUUUUUUUUUUAAAUAUCUGAAGAAAAAGAGUUACCAAAAGGUAAGGAGGUAGUGGAGACAAUGAAUAUAGACCAUCCUUUCAAAAGUUCAGGGAGAAAAAAGAAGAGAGAGAUUGAUGGUAGCUUCAGGAAGAUACUGGCUCGGAAGAUUUACUCAGUCAACAAUUUUUAUUAUGAUUUUGUGAGGUGAAUUAACUCACUUAUUGUGGACCAGGGCUGCUGGAACGGUAGCACUUCUGCUGGUAAUUCAGUUCCUUCAGUCUUCUGAUAGUUGACUUGACUGUGACAGCAGAAGUGGUCUUGCACAUCCAGGACCCACCAGCCAUUGUUUUCAUGAAGGAACCACAGCUGCAGAUGAUAAUAAUCUUGGUCUUGCCACAGAGGAGACAAGGAUCCUGAAGUGCCGGUUGAUUUCAUAUUUUGUCACAUUUUCUGGAGAGAGGCACCACAAUGAUCCAGACCUUCUUGGUGCUUUUGGCCAUGUCAGUGAGUGAGCUAGGCCUGAUCUUGGAGAGCUAUUAUGACAAUUUAAACAGAAAGCAAAGUUAAAAGAAUUACACUGUAGAUAUCCAUGUGUUUACCACCUAGAUUCUCCAAAUAGCAUUUGGCUUUAUUUGGAGCUAUCCAUGCAUCCAUGCAUCCAUCCAUUCAGCUUGUGUUUUAUGUGCAUUUCAGAUACAGUUUCGAGCAUGUGUGGACUGCACUGGUCCAAAGUGUUUUGAUAAGAUGGAAGAGAUAGACACAUGAAUUCAAAGGAGGAGCCAUUAUUGAAAGCCGAAGUGAAGAAAAAGAAUUGUUUUAAACUUGAGAGAAGCAGGAGGAUCCAGGGAGCAAAAGAUGGGAGAGGUAUAGGGAUAUUGAAGGUGAUCUGGCUUGGUGACCUGAAUUUUUCUUCUAGAAGUAGGAGGUAGAAACAUUUGUUAAAGAUGAGAACUGAGUAGGUCUAGUGGACAGGGACAUAAAUGAGGUAUAUUCACUGGGGGAAACAGGAUGGGAAUUAUCAAUGAGCUAAAGGAUUGGUGGGGUCCCUAAGGAUUUGGCUGAACUUGAACCUAUAGCAGCACCAUUCUUGGAGCUGGUGUCAAUACAUUAGCUUUCUAAUAUCAGUGUACCACCUUUUCCCCUGUGACCUACUCCAAACUGCUCUAGCUAUCUGUUGCUUCCUAGACUACUCUAUCUAUCCAGCUGCACCAUCUCAGUAGAGUCAAAUUGCAAAGUCAUUUUCUGACAACUUUCUUCUAAAACCCAGUCUUUUGUUGCUGAGGGUGACUUUUUGUCACCAAAAGACCAAAUGACCACAACUACCAAAAGCUUUCUAGGCUUAUAACUGGUGUCUUUAUGCCUUCCUACAAGAGACGAAGGAAAAAUAGGUCAAUAGAAAAUACACAUAUUGGCCAAUUAUUAUGAUAUUUUUCUCAAGGUACCAAAAAGACAGUGGAAUCAUAUUUUUAAAACUCUCCUUUAGGGUUACUGGGCUCUGAUUUUUCCUUAAAUUUCUUUUCUUUCUUUCUUUUUUAUUUCUCCUGAAGACCCAUCAGUAUUUCAAAGCUAAAGAUGUAGUCACUUUGUUUGGUUAGGGUUGAAAUAACUUGGUGUUUGUAGUUACUAGAAUAACAUGGAAGCUCAUUUGCUAAAUAUGACGUUACAUUGUGUAAGUUAAUAGAUGUUGUCACUCUGUAUUCCAAGCAGAGAUGUAUCAUUCAACAGAUGUAUACAGAACCAUAAAAAAAAAAUACCCACAAAAAUUUAAGUUCUAUAUUUGCUGUUUCUGGAGCAAAUUCUGUAGCUGUCAUCUCUGGGAUGGGGAAAUCACAACUUUGUUGCUUUUCCAACACUUUGCAAUUUAUUUUUUAAAUUACACAGGGUGGAGUCGGGCACCUUAUUAUUUUCAGUGCUUAAGAUCUUAAGGGAUUUUAAUUAGACCCUGAUGUCAGAGGCCAUUGUGGUUCCCUCUGUUUUUAUUCCUUUUGAAUUCCUCCAGUUGAAUGCUGAGGUGAGGUCAUAAUUUUGAAGGAGUUUCUGCCAGGAAGAAGUAACUGGUGGAAAGCUGUUUGUCUCUGGUGUGUUCCAUGGCUUUUCCAAACAACAGUGUCAGUGGUUGCUACAAGCACAGGCUUUCUCUUAGGGCUUUGGACAAAAGGGUACUCUGGCUUUCUUCCUUCCUUCCUUUUCUCCACCCCUCCCUUCCUUCCUUCCUUCCCUUUUGUCCUGGUUCCUACCUAAGAUCAUGUAGCUUCUAUGUUUAAUCAUUAUCAAAUGUUGCUUCCAGGCUCCCGCUUCCCAACUUCUGCAUUUACUUUCUUUACCCAGUCUGCUCCCAUACAUAACUGACAGUUCUGCUUCGGUUUUCAUCCAUCUUCCCACCAAGGAUGAGUGAGUGGCAGCUACUUGAGACUUGCCAUCCCAUAUUCUAGAACAGAAAGACUGAGACAGUAGAGAAAUAGUUCCUUUAAAACCCUGAACCCUUUCAGGAAUUAAGGAAUGUGUGUUUCUUUUAUUAUAUUAGGUUCUACUUACAAGCCAGGAUGCAGGAUGCUAUCUUGAUGAGGGACAGACAAGGUUGCAAAGGGGAACAUACUGAGCAAUGAGCAACAGCUGAGAGCUACAAAGAUAGGGCUGUGCUCAUGUAUAAAUAGAAAUGUUGCUGUUGCCCUGAUGAAUCAGACCAGAUGUUUCUCUGAUGUCUCUGUUUGGUCUUUUGGUUAAAAAAAAAAAAAAGUAUAAUUUUGCUAAAAUUAUAUGUGGGGCCAGGAAUGUGGCACAAAUGCUUUAAGCUUAAAUAAUAUGUAAAAGAGUGAAACUGCCUUACUGAGAAAACCUUUAUCAAUAAGAAAAAAAUAACUAUUUAGAGAAAGAUAGAAAAAGGGUGGGAGGCAAUCAAGCUUUUGACUGAGUUGAUUCAGAAGAUUCAAAUUUGACUUCUUCCUGACUUUAGCUCUAUGAUCUUGGCUAAGUCAAGUCAUUUCUCAGGGUCUAUACGUGUUUAUUCUAAUUUAUUUUCAAGGUGAGAUCUUGCUAUAUUGCUGAGGCUACUGUCCGACUUAGGUGAGCCUCCUUCAGGCUUAAGACUCCUCAGUAGCUGGGAAUAGAGGCAUUAACUAUCAUUCUU